rnacentral:rRNA from 1 species
UACGGGGGGAGCAAGCGUUGUUCGGAUUUACUGGGCGUAAAGGGCGCGUAGGCGGUCAGCACAAGUCAGUUGUGAAAUCUCCGGGCUUAACUCGGAAAGGUCAACUGAUACUGUGCGACUAGAGUGCAGAAGGGGCAACUGGAAUUCUCGGUGUAGCGGUGAAAUGCGUAGAUAUCAGGAGGAACACCAAUGGCGAAGGCAGCUCGCUGGGACGUGACUGACGCUGAGACGCGAAAGCGUGGGGAGCAAACAGG